rnacentral:rRNA from 1 species
UACGGGGGGAGCAAGCGUUGUUCGGAUUUACUGGGCGUAAAGGCGCGUAGGCGGCCACCGCAAGUCGACUGUGAAAUCUCUGGCUUAACCCAGAAAGGUCAGCCGAUACUGCGGGCUAGAGUGCAGAAGGGCAACUGGAAUUCUCGGUGUAGCGGUGAAAUGCGCAGAUAUCGGGAGAACACCAGUGGCGAAGGCGACUACCUGCCUGUUCUUGACGCUGAGGCGCGAAGCUAAGGGAGCAACGGGG